UUCGGACUCGCAUUACUUGUAUGCAGCAUGGUCAGUGUAUAUCGCGGCAGUUAUUGUUAUAAGAACAACAGAAUUUUAAUAUUAUUAUAACAUAAAAUAUAAUUGACGUAAUUAAAAACCAGUUGAAUCGAUUGGUGUUUGUCUAUGAGGGAGCUCGAGUACAUGACCAUCGUGAUAAUUCCUAACCAUAUACGACAUAAUAUAGACCUUGAAAACGUCAUAUUGAUAGUUCGUUGUACUUGACUAUACGGACGAUAACUUAAACAAAUCCGAUCAAACUAAAUAUUAAAUAUCGAACUAAUGUAGGUAUACCAUAGUUGUGGUCGCGAUGCGAAAAUCGCAAAUGUCACAAGUUUUUAUCUCCAAAAAGUUAGUUUACCUAUUAUAGUUAGAUACUAGUUUCGACCUCUAUUGAAAUCUGGAAACAAUGUGUUAUUCAAUACUUCGAAGACUUUUUUACCCUAUACGACGCCAAAUCCAUA